rnacentral:rRNA from 1 species
AUUCCAGCUCCAAUAGCGUAUAUUAAAGUUGUUGCGGUUAAAAAGCUCGUAGUUGUAUUUCAGCCAAAAUUAACCGGUGUCUCAUCGUAGAUAUCUGGUAAAAUUGCGGCAUUUCUUAAAGUACGUGUUGGCGCUUUGUUGUGCUGCAUUGUCUUUAAGUCUUUUACUUUGAGGAAAUUAGAGUGUUUCAAGCAGGCAAACGCCUUGAAUACAUUAGCAUGGAAUAAUAAAAUAGGACUUUGGAUCUAUUUUGUUGGUUUUUGGAACUAAAGUAAUGAUAAAUAGGGACAGUCGGGGGCAUUCGUACUUAACUGUCAGAGGUGAAAUUCUUGGAUUUGUUAAAGACGAACUACUGCGAAAGCAUUUGCCAAGGAUGUUUUCAUCA